rnacentral:rRNA from 1 species
CCUACGGGUGGCAGCAGUGGGGAAUAUUGGACAAUGGGGGGAACCCUGAUCCAGCCAUGCCGCGUGUGUGAAGAAGGCCCUCGGGUUGUAAAGCACUUUCAGUGAGGAAGAACGCCUGGGGGAUAAUACCCAUCAGGAAAGACAUCACCCACAGAAGAAGCACCGGCUAACUCCGUGCCAGCAGCCGCGGUAAUACGGAGGGUGCGAGCGUUAAUCGGAAUUACUGGGCGUAAAGCGCGCGUAGGUGGCUUGAUAAGCCGGUUGUGAAAGCCCCGGGCUCAACCUGGGAACGGCAUCCGGAACUGUCAAGCUAGAGUGCAGGAGAGGAAGGUAGAAUUCCCGGUGUAGCGGUGAAAUGCGUAGAGAUCGGGAGGAAUACCAGUGGCGAAGGCGGCCCUCUGGACUGACACUGACACUGAGGUGCGAAAGCGUGGGUAGCGAACAGGAUUAGAUACCCGAGUAGUC